rnacentral:lncRNA from 1 species
AAUAAAGAACCAUCACAUCCAAUCUUCAAUUCUUCAAAAGUCUCUUUUGUAAAUUGAUGUCCAAUCUUUUUUGGAUCUCUUAUACACUCUUAUUUUGAUGCUUCUUCUAUUUGCUCAUUAAAAUCUUCUGAUAAAGGUCCGGCAACAUGGUUUAACUUUUUAUCUAUUGUUUUAUAUUUUAUCUCUACAAUAACUUCUAGAGCUUGAAAAGAUUCAAGUAUAGUAUAAACCUCCUUCGAAUGAAUUUCCACAAUCUUAUCAUUAUCCCCUAAUCCAAAAGAUGUAAUUAAUUCUAAAGAAUCUUCCAAUCCAUUUUUUUCAUAAAUACCUAAAAUCUUCUCAUCAUCUUCUAAUGUCUCUAACUUGUGUAAUUCCUUUUCAAUACUAUAUAAUCUUUUUCUUUCUUUUCUUUUAAAAUCAUCAACUUUUUUAUACAUAAUAUUUCUAUUCUCAAAAAUACCAAUAAAAUUCGCAUCAAAGGCACCUAUAUCUUACGAGAGUAUCUCCUCUUUU